rnacentral:lncRNA from 1 species
GUUUGAUAUUCUCUUGUGUUGAGCCUAUUUGAUUUUUUUUUUUUGGCCAGUUUUCCUUUGUGUUUUAUUACUCACUUGCAGAAAUUUAUUUAUGUAUUUUGGGUAAAAAUAUAUUUUAGUUUUAAGUAAUCUCUUCAACUAACAUGAGGCUCAAACUUCUACCCGAGACGAAGAGUCUCAUCUCUACCAACUGAGCCAGUUAGUUACCCCUAUAAUCCAACUUCUUAACUUUUUCCUAUUUAAUUAUUAAAUAUGAUAAUUUAUUCUAAAAUGGUUUUACCUGCCUCAAGGUCAUGAAGAUGUUUCUUUCCCAAAACUUACUGUUUUAACUUUCAUGUUUAGAUCAACAAUAUAACUCAAGCUACUUAUGUGAAGUAGGGGUGACCAUUCAUAUUUUUCCUAUAUGGAUAUCUACCUAGUAUCAUUCAUUGAAAAGACUACUUUUAUUGCAAUGUCAACUUUGUCAUAAGUCUGAUGGCUAUAUAUAUGCAUCUCCUGCACUCUUUAUUCUAUUGAUCUGUUUUUCUAUCAUUGCACCAAUACUAUACUAUAAUUACUAUAGCUUUACAAUAGAUAGUGACGAUCUCAUAAAUUACUUUGCCUUUGUUCAUUUUCUUGGCUUUUCAUCUUCAUUUCCAUAUACACUAGGGCACAAGUUUGUCAACUUCCACCCACAGCAAAAUAAACUUUGAUAGGAUUUUGAUUGGGCUUAUGUCAAAUCUAAGAAUCCAUUUGGGGAAAGUUGACAUGAUAAUAGUGUCUAUUCCAUGAACAUGGUACUUCUCUCCAUUUAUUUAGGUCAUCUUUAAUUUCUUUUAAUGUUUUUAUAGUUUUCAUAGGUCUUACACAGGUUUAACACUUGUCUUCCUCCAUUUAGACUGCUAUGAGAAAAUACCAGACUGAAUGGCUUCUAUACAACAGAAAUUUAUUUCUCACAGUUCUGGAUUUUGGAAGUCUCAGAUCAGGGUGCCAGCAUGGUUGGGGGGAAGGUCCUAAAGCCAACUCUACUCAAGGGAUGCCUUGGUAGCAAUGAUUGUUAACCAUCUGGAGUGACAGAAGAAAGUGAUAUUGGGUAACUAACAUCUUAAGAAGUUUCAUCUCAAGUUUAUGUAAUAUUAUUAUAGCAACAAAAAUGGAAUCUUAAUUAUGCUGUUGGUUGCUCCAUUUUGGUCAUAGGGGUGGGCACCUUUAUCAUUUACUGAUUAUGUACUGAUUAAUGUGGUCAGUAUCUUUGCUCUGUAAAUUUGUGAUCUGUGGAGGGAGUUUUAACCAGAAUUGGUUGGUUUUAUGUCUUGUCAACAUUUUUAUGUAAUUCUUUUUGUACACACUGGGACCACCGGGCAAUAUUAAGUACUUUUGAGGCCUUUUUAGCACCCCGUGGGUAUGAUGUGGUGUAAGAUAAAUCAAUCACUAUUCAAAAUUAAUUGUUGUAUUUUGCAUUUACCAUGUCAACUGAACCACCUUAAUCUUAUGAUAAUACGGGUAUGUUAAAUCCUUGUGGUAGCAUGGGAAAAAAUCACAGAAAUUGCAGGAACAUUGCUCUGUAUAUUAAUUAUUCUGUAUAAUAAAGCCAUUCACCCAAGGCAAAGAUCCAUAACUUUGUGCAAAUUCUAAAUUUCAGGCUGAAGUUGAUUUUUUAAAUUGGGAGUCCUUGGUUAUGUGCAUGUAGCUAGAUUUGUCCCAUUGUGGCAUUUGUGGAAGAGCAGAACAGUUAGGCUC